rnacentral:misc_RNA from 2 species
AACGCACCUUGCGCCCUUUGGCUAUUCCGAAGGGCAUGCCUGUUUGAGUAUCAUGAACACCUCAACUCUCAUGGCUUGCCAUGAUGAGCUUGGACUUUGGGGGUCUUGCUGGCCUGGGGUCAGCUCCUCUCAAAUGAAUUAGCUUGCCAGUGUUUGGUGUGGUAUCAUGGGUGUGAUAACUAUCUACGCUUGUGGUUUUCCACCAGGUAACCUUCUGCGACAAAGGUUCGCUGGGGCUCAUAAAUGUCUCUCCUCGGUGAGGACAGCUUUUUGAACGUUUGAUCUCAAAUCAGGUAGGACUACCCGCUGAACUUAA